GCCCGCAUAGCUCAGUGGUAGAGCGCGUCACUAGUAAUCCCUUGAUAUAAGGAUUCGACAUGACGAGGUCUUCAGUUCGACUCUGGAUGUGGGCA